rnacentral:rRNA from 1 species
UUGGGUUUAAAGGGCGCGUAGGCGGAUUUGUAAGUCAGUGGUGAAAUCCUACAGCUUAACUGAAGAACUGCCAUUGAUACUGCAAGUCUUGAGUACAUUUGAUGUGGGCGGAAUGUGUCAUGUAGCGGUGAAAUGCUUAGAUAUGACACAGAACACCGAUUGCGAAGGCAGCUCACAAAACUGUAACUGACGCUGAGGCACGACAGCGUGGGGAUCAAACAGGAUUAGAUACCCUGGUAGUCCACGCCGUAAACUAUGAUCACUCGAUGUUGGCGAUAUACAGCCAGCGUCUAAGCUAAAGCAUUAAGUGAUCCACCUGGGGAGUACGGUCGCAAGAUUGAAACUCAAAGGAAUUGACGGGGGCCCGCACAAGCGGAGGAGCAUGUGGUUUAAUUCGAUGAUACGCGAGGAACCUUACCAGGGCUUGAAAGUUAGUGACCGCCGCCGAAAGGUGGCUUUCAGCAAUGACACAAAACUAGGUGCUGCAUGGCUGUCGUCAGCUCGUGCCGUGAGGUGUUGGGUUAAGUCCCGCAGCGAGCGCAACCCCUAUCUUUAGUUGCCAGCGGGUAAUGCCGGGGACUCUAGAGAAACUGCCCGCGUAAGCGUGGAGGAAGGUGGGGAUGACGUCAAGUCAGCACGGCCCUUACGUCCUGGGCUACACACGUGCUACAAUGGGCGAGACAAUGGGUUGCUACACAGCAAUGUGAUGCUAAUCUCAAAACUCGUUCUCAGUUCGGAUUGAGGUCUGCAACUCGACCUCAUGAAGCUGGAUUCGCUAGUAAUCGGAUAUCAGCAAUGAUCCGGUGAAUACGUUCCCGGGCCUUGUACACACCGCCCGUCAAACAAUGGAAGCCGAGGGUACCUGAAGUCGAUAACCGCAAGGAGUCGCCUAGGGUAAAAUUGGUAACUGGUGUUAAGUCGUAACAAGGUA